ACCUGAAAAACCACCAAACACCGUGUAAUCAUCAACAACAAUGUGUGUGUGUGUGUGUGUGUGUGUUUAACUUAACAAACAAACAAACAAAAUGAGUGUGAGUGUGUUGGUGUUGCAACAAAACAUCAAAUCAAAUAAUCCAGAUCGCCAUCAGUCAACGUCAAUUGAAGUGAAUUUCAGCUACGGAAACAAAUCAAGGACACAAGGAUGAUUCAAUUUGUGUUUUGCUUGCGAGAGACAUUCAAAGAAAUCAACUACACAAAAAGAUUUAAAAAUCUAAGUGUUUUCAACUAGACUAAAAAGUGGAGGAGAGUGUUGAACACUACAACUACAAAACAUCAGUGAUUACAGAAUUUCAACAAGGACUAUCUAUGAUUCUAUGCAAUACAUGCAAUAAUAUAACAAAAUAUUAACACAGCUUGGCACAGUUUCCCCACCACAACAUGUUUUCAUCGAAUGAUUGAACACAAUUUAUACACAAAAAAUAAUGAAAGCAUCGACUUCCAGUCAACAAAUCACAAUAUAUAAAUAUAUAAUUCAAUUAAUUGUUCAUACGCCAUGUGCAGAGGUAGAAUUAAUUAAUAAUUUAUCAAUAACAACAUUAAUAAAGAAUUGCUACAUAUACUUCUAGCAACAAAACACUAUAUUUUACAAACUAAACAUGUAUAAAAUAUAUAUCAAUGUUUAAAAUGAUCAAAAUAAAAAAAAAAAAACGAAUCUAAAUCAUAGAGUUAUGGAGAGGCCUAUAAGUAUAUAGCAGUAAUAAAUAUGUACGCUUAUAACAA